rnacentral:lncRNA from 1 species
GGGGCAUUCUGUUUCGGAGUGCAAUUUCCAUGUGGCCCAUGUAGCGUGCAGUGCCCUCCUCUCCUGAGCUGUGAGUAUAUGUAACUAAUAAACUGCUGUCUGUCUCAUCUGUCCAGUGUUGGGUGUUGUGUGUUCAGCCAUGCCUAUAACCACAGGGUGGGAAUCCCUCCUUUACCAAUAGAGUAAAUAGGAGGUGAUUAAAACACAGAUAGGUACCAACAUGACGAUAAUCUAAUUAGGAAACAGAGGCAAGGAAAUUCCACAUGGCUCAAACUUGUAUGUGUGGUAGCUUAGUGGUUUUGUUCAUUGUAGGAGUCCAGAUGGUAGUUGGGGGUGAGAAGUCCUAAGAACCAGAGGGCUAGGCAAGGAUACCAAGGUUCUCCAUAGGCAAAGCCUCUUCUCUCGAAAGUGCUCAAGGCCUACUUCCUUAGUCCAAUCAAAUCUCUGCUUAAAUAUCAUCUCAUCAGAGAUACUUCCUUUAUAACCUAACUUGAAGCAGCACCUCCUUCCCUAUUAUUUUCUAUUCCCUUAUUCUGAUGGAUUUUUAUUUUUAGCAUUUCUCUAAUAUUCAGUAUAUGUUUGUCUCUUGACAUUAGAGUAAUCUCCAUGAGGGGAAGACUUGUUCAUCCCUGUAGCACUACUGCCUAAAGCAGUACCUGACAAAAUGGUAGGUGCAUAAUAAAUAUCCCUUGAAUGCAUGAUGUUAUAAGUCUAGUCCUAUGGGCCUGGCCAGCUCUUUGUGUGUGUUGUGUGUGAAGGGAAAGAGAGAAAGGGAGAAAGUAAGGAGUGAAGUAUAAGGAUUGUCACUUGGGGUGUGUAUGUGUGUGGCGGGGGGCAGAGGGAGGUGGUGGGUGGAAAUCCAAGACUACAGCUGAAACAGUAGAUGCCAAACCUAGCCUGAGGAAUUUAUUUCAGGAUUCAAUAGUGGAAAAGGAAAAAAAAAAAUAGGGAAGACCAAAGUGUCCUGAUUGACUCCGGAUCUGACGAUGCCCACAUUUACACAUGGAGGGAAUCCAUAAUCCCUGCUGUGGUGGGGAAUAGAAAGGAGAGUUGUGGAAUAACGUUCAAUAACAAAUUACUAAGAAAAAUUAUUAUGAGGUUAUAGAAUAAAGGAGUCUCUAUGCAUAAGAAAAGAAUGGAAGAAGGGCAAGCAAACUUGUCUCUGAGCAUGCCAAUGAGAAGAAUUUUUUGGGCUAGCUGACAAAAAACGUAGAGAAAAAAACAUUUUAGCUAUUAAAAAGUUUAUGAGGUGUGGUAAAUUAGAAAAGGGGAAAAAACCCUAACAUGUGAUGUUGUUAUAAAAAUGGAUUUGGAUAAAGAGAAGUCUGCAAAUCAGUCAACAAAUUUACCAUAGGGGCAGAAGGGAAAAUCACAGUAUGAAAAAGGAAAUGCAUACAGGAGAAAGGGGAAAGAAUUUUAAAAAUAAGAGUCUGUUUGGUUUAAUAAACAUGUAACUUAUCAAUUUUUUUUUUUUUUUUUUUUGAGACGGAGUCUCACUCUGCUGCCCAGGCUGGAAUGGAGUGGCAUGAUGUCGGCUCACUGCAACCUCUACUUCCCAGGUUCAAGCGAUUCUCCUGCUUUAACCUCCCAAGUAGCUGGGCCUACAAGCACACACCACCAUGGCCGGCUAAUUUUAGUAGAGACAGGGUUUUGCCAUGUUGGCUAGGCUGGUCUCGAACUCCUGACCUCAAGUGAUCCACCCACCUUGGCCUCCGAGAGUGCUGGGAUUACAGGCGUGAAUCACCAUGCCCGGCAAUUUAAUAUUUGAAAAGAACACUGUUAAAAGAACUGCAAGCAUGAUGAUAUGGAAACACCUUCCAAAAUACUAGUUUGAAAAAAUGUUCCACUGUUUGGUUUAAUAUAUUAGGUAGUACUGUAAUCACUUUUAUUGCUACAAUAACUUCAGGAAACUACCCAGGGCAGAUGUCUUCAAAAAAAGAGCAGGAAGAAGGCAAAUGGCAGAUGAAAUGAGAUGUCAAUAUGGAACUA